rnacentral:rRNA from 1 species
CUCGUAGGCGGUUUGUCGCGUCUGCCGUGAAAGUCCGGGGCUCAACUCCGGAUCUGCGGUGGGUACGGGCAGACUAGAGUGAUGUAGGGGAGACUGGAAUUCCUGGUGUAGCGGUGAAAUGCGCAGAUAUCAGGAGGAACACCGAUGGCGAAGGCAGGUCUCUGGGCAUUAACUGACGCUGAGGAGCGAAAGCGAUGGGGAUGAACA